rnacentral:rRNA from 1 species
GGCGGCAUGCCUUACACAUGCAAGUCGAACGGUAACGCGGGGCAACCUGGCGACGAGUGGCGAACGGGUGAGUAAUACAUCGGAACGUGCCCAGUAGUGGGGGAUAGCCCGGCGAAAGCCGGAUUGAUACCGCAUACGACCUACGGGUGAAAGCGGGGGAUCGAAAGACCUCGCGCUAUUGGAGCGGCCGAUGUCAGAUUAGCUAGUUGGUGGGGUAAAAGCCUACCAAGGCGACGAUCUGUAGCUGGUCUGAGAGGACGACCAGCCACACUGGGACUGAGACACGGCCCAGACUCCUACGGGAGGCAGCAGUGGGGAAUUUUGGACAAUGGGGGCAACCCUGAUCCGGCCAUGCCGCGUGCGGGAAGAAGGCCUUCGGGUUGUAAACCGCUUUUGUCGGGGAAGAAAAGGUACGCGCUAAUACCGCGGACUAAUGACGGUACCCGAAGAAUAAGCACCGGUUAACUACGUGCCAGCAGCUGCGGUAAUACGUAGGGUGCAAGCGUUAAUCGGAAUUACUGGGCGUAAAGCGUGCGCAGGCGGCUUUGCAAGACAGAUGUGAAAUCCCCGGGUUCAACCUGGGAACUGCAUUUGUGACUGCAUGGCUAGAGUGCGGCAGAGGGGGAUGGAAUUCCGCGUGUAGCAGUGAAAUGCGUAGAUAUGCGGAGGAACACCGAUGGUGAAGGCAAUCCCCUGGGUCUGCACUGACGCUCAUGCACGAAAGCGUGGGGAGUAAACAGGAUUAGAUACCCUGGUAGUCCACGCCCUAAACGAUGUCAACUGGUUGUUGGACGGCUUGCUGUUCAGUAACGAAGCUAAUGCGUGAAGUUGACCGCCUGGGGAGUACGGCCGCAAGGUUGAAACCCAAAGGAAUUGACGGGGACCCGCACAAGCGGUGGAUGAUGUGGUUUAAUUCGAUGCAACGCGAAAAACCUUACCUACCCUUGACAUGCCAGGAACUUACCAGAGAUGGUUUGGUGCUCGAAAGAGAGCCUGGACACAGGUGCUGCAUGGCCGUCGUCAGCUCGUGACGUGAGAUGUUGGGUUAAGUCCCGCAACGAGCGCAACCCUUAUCAUUAGUUGCUACGUAAGGGCACUCUAAUGAGACUGCCGGUGAUAAACCGGAGGAAGGUGGGGAUGACGUCAGGUCAUCAUGGCCCUUAUGGGUAGGGCUACACACGUCAUACAAUGGCCGGUACAGAGGGCUGCCAACCUGCGAGGGGGAGCUAAUCUCAGAAAACCGGUCGUAGUCCGGAUCGCAGUCUGCAAUUCGACUGCGUGAAGUCGGAAUCGCUAGUAAUCGCGGAUCAGCUUGCCGCGGUGAAUACGUUCCCGGGUCUUGUACACACCGCCCGUCACACCAUGGGAGCGGGUUCUGCCAGAAGUAGUUAGCCUAACCGUAAGGAGGGCGAUUACCACGGCAGGGUUCGUGACUGGGGUGAAGUCGGA